rnacentral:rRNA from 1 species
UACGAAGGGGGCUAGCGUUGUUCGGAUUUACUGGGCGUAAAGCGCACGUAGGCGGAUUGGUCAGUUAGGGGUGAAACCCUGGAGCUCAACUCCAGAACUGCCUUUAAUACUGCCAAUCUCGAGUCCGGAAGAGGUAAGUGGAACUCCUAGUGUAGAGGUGGAAUUCGUAGAUAUUAGGAAGAACACCAGUGGCGAAGGCGGCUUACUGGUCCGGUACUGACGCUGAGGUGCGAAAGCGUGGGGAGCGAACAGG